CAGACACCCUCUCCACAUUCAAGAGUAGGCUUAAGACAUUCCUCUUUGAUAAAGCUUAUAGUUAGGGCUGGAUCAGGUGAGUCCUGAACCAUCCCUUAGUUAUGCUGCUAUAGGCCUAGACUAUCGGGGGAUUUCCCAUGGUGCACUGAGCUCCUCUCUUCCUCUCUCUUUCUGCACUCAUUCAUGUUCCUUUAAUGCAUGUUACUAACUUCACUUCUUCCCCGGAGUUCUUGUGCUUUCUCGUCUCGCAGGUUCUCAUGGAUCCUGGUGGAGCCUCCUGCCAUGGUCCUGCUUGACUGCCAUUGUCAAUACUGUUGUUGCUGUGCACCUGUCUGUCUGUCUGUCUGUCUCUCGCUCUCUCUCUCUGCCUCUCUCUCUCUCUCUCUCUCUCUCUCUCUCUCACCCCAACUGGUCGAGACAGACGACCACCCACCUAGAGCCGGAGGAUCUGUCCUAGGUUUCUGCCUUUUAACAGGCAGUUUUUCCUUGCCCUUGUCGCCAAGUGCUUGCUCAUGGUGGUACUGUUGGGUCUCUGUAAUUAAUGUUUUAAAGAGUUCGGUCUAGACCUGCUCUAUUUGAAAAGUGUCCUGAGAUAACUUCUGUUAUGAAUUGGCGCUAUACAAAUAAAAUUGAAUUGAACUGAA